UAAACUGAAGAGUUUGAUCAUGGCUCAGAUUGAACGCUGGCGGCAGGCCUAACACAUGCAAGUCGAGCGCGAAAACACUUCGGUGUGAGUAGAGCGGCGGACGGGUGAGUAAUGCUUGGGAAUCUACCUAGUAGUGGGGGAUAACGUGUGGAAACGCACGCUAAUACCGCAUACGUCCUACGGGAGAAAGUGGGGGACCUUCGGGCCUUGCGCUGAUGGAUGAGCUCGCGUCGGAUUAGCUUGUUGGUGAGGUAAAGGCUCACCAAGGCGACGAUCCGUAGCUGGUC
rnacentral:rRNA from 1 species